rnacentral:lncRNA from 1 species
GCUGGGUAUAUGUUGCUGAGAUAGCUUUUCCCAGCACACUCACGGAAGGAUGGGGUUGUGUAAACAUGAUGACUAUAGCAAAACACCAAUAGGGAGGGAUGAUGGGAAAGCCAAACACAGGUCAGGUCAGUAAAGGAAGCACAAGUCCAGGGGCCAGUUCACUCUUCUACCUGAAGCAGAGACAGCACCAGAUUAACUGACCUCUUCCAUGUUCAAACCAUAUGUAAUUGUAAUUGAAUGGAAGUUAAACAUCUGGAAACCGUUAGGAUUGAAUAGCAAUGAAAGGCAGGAAGCACAAGACUAUGGAAAGUGAUUUUGAACAACCAGGUGGUCCCAAAGAUAACCAAUUGUUUAGAGCCUAGAGGAAAGGGAAGAACCCACAUCUACCAUGAAUGAAUAAAUGGCGACCUGGAAGCAUACUUCUGGUAGCAAUGGGGACACGGGUCAAAGGGGACUUGAGGUUAUCAGCUUUCAGAAUGAAGACACAUAAUCCCUAUUAGAGUGGAAGACUUAAAAUCGAGUUUGAGACCCACCUUCUGAAACUGCAGGCUCUUGGGAGCCUGAUUUCCGGUGAAGAGUGUUGCUGCUUUGCAUUUUUCACACUUGAACACAGUGAAGAAGAUGAACAUUAAUUAGGAUUAUAGUGCCAUGGAGGCUUACUGUGCUGUGAGAACUCACAAGAAAUAAAAUGCCAUUUCUUUUUUUGGAUGCAAUUCUGAGUGUCAUGUAUGUAUUAGUUCUUGGGCCCAAGCCAAGUUACUUUAGGGGUGAUAUACAAUCUGUUAUUUUUAGAUCAUAUUGGGUAAGGG